rnacentral:rRNA from 1 species
UUCCCGGUUUUUUAUGAGUGUGAACACGGCCCGGGUGCAAGGUAACGGGCGCCGGCGGUUUACCCAUCGAAAUUUCGCGAGGGAAACGUUUUCUACCUUUCUUAGAACGGUCCGAACCGCCGACCGGGGGGAUUAAUCCAUUGGGAAAUCCCCCCCAUAAUGGGGGACAACCCUGGGGGAAAUCCCGGGUUAAAUCCCGCAUAUUUUCCUACGGGAAGAAACCAGGGGAUUUUUGGGCCCUUUGCGUUAUCGGAAUGGACCCCAAUUCCGGAUUAACUUUGUUGGUGAGGUAACGGCUCCCCCAAGGCGACGGUUCCGUAGCUGGUCUGAGAGGGAUGUUCAGCCCCACUUGGGACUGAGACACGGGCCCAGAUUCCUACGGGAGGCAGCAGUGGGGAAUAUUGGCCAAUGGGCGAAAGCCUGAUCCAGCCAUGCCGCGUGUGUGAAGAAGGCCUUCGGGUUGUAAAGCACUUUCAGCGAGGAAGAACGCUUCGGGAUUAAUACUCCCGAGGAAAGACAUCACUCGCAGAAGAAGCACCGGCUAACUCCGUGCCAGCAGCCGCGGUAAUACGGAGGGUGCAAGCGUUAAUCGGAAUUACUGGGCGUAAAGCGCGCGUAGGUGGCUAAGUCAGCCAGGUGUGAAAGCCCCGGGCUCAACCUGGGAACGGCAUCUGGAACUGCUUGGCUAGAGUGCAGGAGAGGAAGGUAGAAUUCCCGGUGUAGCGGUGAAAUGCGUAGAGAUCGGGAGGAAUACCAGUGGCGAAGGCGGCCUUCUGGACUGACACUGACACUGAGGUGCGAAAGCGUGGGUAGCAAACAGGAUUAGAUACCCUGGUAGUCCACGCCGUAAACGAUGUCAACUAGCCGUUGGGUCCCUUGAGGACUUAGUGGCGCAGCUAACGCAAUAAGUUGACCGCCUGGGGAGUACGGCCGCAAGGUUAAAACUCAAAUGAAUUGACGGGGGCCCGCACAAGCGGUGGAGCAUGUGGUUUAAUUCGAUGCAACGCGAAGAACCUUACCUACCCUUGACAUCCAGAGGACUUUCCAGAGAUGGAUUGGUGCCUUCGGGAACUCUGAGACAGGUGCUGCAUGGCUGUCGUCAGCUCGUGUUGUGAAAUGUUGGGUUAAGUCCCGUAACGAGCGCAACCCCUAUCCUUAUUUGCCAGCGAGUAAUGUCGGGAACUCUAAGGAGACUGCCGGUGACAAACCGGAGGAAGGUGGGGACGACGUCAAGUCAUCAUGGCCCUUACGGGUAGGGCUACACACGUGCUACAAUGGCAAGUACAAAGGGUUGCAAUACGGCGACGUGGAGCCAAUCCCAUAAAGCUUGCCUCAGUCCGGAUUGGAGUCUGCAACUCGACUCCAUGAAGUCGGAAUCGCUAGUAAUCGUGGAUCAGAAUGCCACGGUGAAUACGUUCCCGGG